UAGCAGCAUAUAAAUAUUGGAG
rnacentral:miRNA from 1 species